rnacentral:rRNA from 1 species
UACGUAGGGUGCAAGCGUUGUCCGGAAUUAUUGGGCGUAAAGAGCUCGUAGGCGGUCUGUUGCGUCGGCUGUGAAAACCCGGGGCUCAACUCCGGGCCUGCAGCCGAUACGGGCAGACUAGAGUUCGGCAGGGGAGACUGGAAUUCUCGGUGUAGCGGUGAAAUGCGUAGAUAUCGAGAGGAACACCUGCGGCGAAGGCGGGUUGCUGGGCUGACACUGACGCUGAUGCGCGAAAGCUAGGGGAGCGAACGGG